ACACACACAGAGGGAGUGUGACCUCAACCUCAGCUCGGGACACCAUCUCUCCACUAUAUCUUUACAUAGCAAAUAUGUGUUUGCUGCUAUAUUAAUUUUCUGAAUGUCGAGUACAGCCCCUUUCAAUUCCAUGUUGUUUUUAA